AAAUGUCAAUUGUCGUAUUCAUCAACAGCGACUUUGCGUAUAAAAACCAGUCGCGAGUAUUAAUGUGAUGUGUACAGCAUUUAGUAAGAGAAAUGAGCCGCCUUACCCGAUUCAUUCUUUUUUAUUCAGCAGUUACUGCGGGAUGGAGUGGUCCUAUAGAUGAUACCUGGGAGACAGAAUAUUUGAAAUACAACCCCGAUUUCUUUGAAGGAGACAUUAGGGGUGUGGAACCUGGAAAUAAGCCGAGGAACGCGAUCCGUGACCCGAACUUACUCUGGCCCGAUGGUGUUGUUCACUAUUCUUUCGAUAGUGAAUAUAGCUUAAGUGAACGUGCCAUCUUUGAGGACGUCUUUAAUCUGUACGUAGCCAAUUCCUGUAUCAGAUUUGUAGAGAGAACAACACAGCGGGACUACGUGUCCAUUCAGAAGACGGGCACCGGAUGCAACAGCUACGUUGGCAGGAUUGGAGGAGCUCAAGUCCUUUCGCUUGAUUCGGCGUGCUUACGUUGCACAGUUUCUGGAUGUUCAGUUCCUGGAACGCCAGUUCACGAGUUCUUGCACGCACUUGGCUUUCAACACGAGCACUGCCGCACGGAUCGCGAUGAUUACGUUACCAUAAACUGGGCCAACAUUCAGCCUGGAUUGGAAGGAGCUUUUGAAAAGUACGACCAAACUCAAAUCCAGCACCUUGCUAAUUAUGACUACGCUUCCGUCAUGCACUACGAACCGUACGCCUUCGCCGUUGAUCCAUCUGUCCCAACGAUAAUCGUACCUAGCGGUGUAAUCAUCGGGAAGACGGACGGGUUCAGCGAGGUUGACAAAGUCGAGCUAAACGCCCUUUACGGGUGCUCCGGUGUCAGUAAAUAAAAGGUGUCGUGAUUAUUCACCUGAAAUCACUUAGCUGUUUCAUUUUUAAGGUGCCUUGACGAAAGUGACCGUUUACGUUGUGUAUUAAAAUUUACUCUUUAUCUUAAAAAUGACUUUCUUAAACGUAUUCUUAAUCAA
rnacentral:misc_RNA from 1 species